rnacentral:rRNA from 1 species
AAAAGUACUUUGAAGAGAGAGUUCAAGAGGACGUGAAACCGGUAGGAUGGAAACGGAUAGAGCCAACGAACUAGUCCGUAUUCAGCUAGCCGGCUGCGUGCGGCAUGCUUGAGCGUCCGAUCAAAAGGGCGCUCGAGUGUGUGUCGGAUGUGCGGUCGUGGCUAGUGCAUUUGCGGGCGAUGUGCGCCGAGGCGUGUGUUGGAGUUCGGCGAACCGUCGGGAGAGGCCUUGUCUUCACGGACUUGGAACCUACUGUGCGGGGAGUCGAGUUUUCGGUGCACGUAGAUUUGUGGUUAGGUACAGACGCGCUGGUGUACUGUCGGGCUAGUCCCUUGGUCGGUCGCAUGCGACUAGGCCUUGGUGGUUGGUCUUGGCGGUGCUCGAGUGCCCUGGCCUUUCCUCGGUGUAAAAGUUGGUCAUCUCUCCGACCCGUCUUGAAACACGGACCAAGGAGUCUAGCGUAUACGCGAGUCAUUGGGUGUGAAAACCCAUAGGCGCAAUGAAAGUGAAGGUCUCUUCGGGAGGCUGAUAUGCGAUCCGUUGCACUACGGUGUAUUCGCGGAGCAGCAUAGCCCCAUCUCGACUGCUUGCAGUGGGGUGGAGGUAGAGCGUAUGCGCUGGUACCCGAAAGAUGGUGAACUAUGCCUGAGCAGGAUGAAGCCAGAGGAAACUCUGGUGGAGGUCCGAAGCGCUUCUGACGUGCAAAUCGAUCGUCUGACUUGGGUAUAGGGGCGAAAGACUAAUCGAACCAUC